CACAUAUUAAAAGGUUUCCACUAUGGAUAUGAGAUUGUCAGAUGAAGUAUCAAGUUUUAAUGUGUUAUGGCAAUUUUAUUUAGGCUAUAAGUAUAUAACAUGCAAAUAAAAGUUUUGUUUUAGUGCAAAGAAUAAAGCUAAUAAAAUAUCAGAUUACACAAAAUGCCUGUGUGAUCGAAAAGUCAAAGCCCUAAUACUGUACAAGAACAAUGGACUGUCCUGUUUCACCAUCCUGUACAUUGGUCUAUCACUUUUAAGUCUUCCAGUUUAUACUUGAG